CGCUUUAGCUCAGUUGGUAGAGCGACGCAUUCGUAAUGCGUAGGUCGCGGGUUCGAGUCCCGUUUGCG
rnacentral:tRNA from 1 species